UGGGGAAUAUUGCACAAUGGACGGAAGUUUGAUGCAGCGACGCCGCGUGGAGGGUGUAGGCCUUCGGGUUGUGAACUCCUUUUUCUCGCGAAAAAGGCACAGUUUUGGCUGUGUUGAUGGUAGUGGGGGAAGAAGCGCCGGCUAACUACGUGCCAGCAGCCGCGGUAAUACGUAGGGCGCGAGCGUUGUCCGGAUUUAUUGGGCGUAAAGAGCUCGUAGGUGGUUCGUCGCGUCUGUCGUGAAAGCCAGCAGCUUAACUGUUGGUCUGCGGUGGGUACGGGCGGGCUUGAGUGCGGUAGGGGUGACUGGAAUUCCUGGUGUAGCGGUGGAAUGCGCAGAUAUCAGGAGGAAAACCGAUGGCGAAGGCAGGUCACUGGGCCGUUACUGACACUGAGGAGCGAAAGCGUGGGGAGCGAACAGGA
rnacentral:rRNA from 1 species